rnacentral:lncRNA from 1 species
CUGCCUUUCUCACAAAUUCUUGCAUUUCUUCUCUAGUUUUCAAAGGUUUCCGCUUGUUAACCAUUCAUUGUGUGUUUCACACCUCUUACCGGGCCUUUUAUUCGAACUAGGGGCUUUUUGGCUGAAUCAUCUUUCGUUUAGAGUCUCAUCGGACCGAACACGAGGACACAAGGUUGCCACAGUAGCCUUCAGAUAUGGGCGACAUUUUGCAGGGUGUGUUAAAUCUUUUCAAUGGAAAGGGGAGGUAUGCUUCAGGUAAUACCACAUUAUGAGCUCCCAUCGGUCUUGGAUUUCUCUGGAUUCAUGCUGGGUCUCUGGUGAGCUUUAGCUCGGGCUACUGCUUGGGCUGAAAGCACACACAUAAAAGAGCUUUUAAUAACUAUUCAUAGACAGUAAAUCAAUUCCUUUUCCUAUAAAACAUGUUGGGCAUGCUUAUAGUUAUAUCCAAGAACAUACAUCCAGUAUAUUGAAAAAGAUCACAGAAAGCCCUGUCCGCGAAGAUAUUGAAGUAAAUCUCAAUACCUUCCACUAAAAUUAAAAUGACAACUCUGUUUCUACAGAUACCGACUUCCAUUUCUGCAGAUGUUGGUCUGGGCCCUUGUGGAAGACUAGUGAUUUUGUUGUUGUUCCUUCUGCUUUCUGACAACAAGUCGCAGUCUACCUCAGCGACCAGGUCCAUUGGCUAAUAUUGUGGAUACACCGAAACCUUCUGACCAAAUGAGAGGCUCAUCUGUGACCAGAUGCACUGGUUUUCCCCUUCAUUAGACGGGAGGGUGAUAUGUUUCAAGGCCUCGAGCUCCGAGUUGAUCUUUUAUUCAUGCAAACCAUGUACACUUCUGAUGAAGCAAUUAUCUCACAAGCAAAUCGCUUUUGUGUUGUCUGUUAAACAAUACGCAAUCGCAUCAAUAUUUCUCUUUCAAACUCAUUAAAAGCAUCAUACUGAUACCUGUUCUGAGUUGCCUCUUUAUUCUUUCCCUGCACAAGUUUGCACACUGCAACUGCAUUGAAAAUGUGAUCAUGCUUCCACGCAAAUCAGAUACACUCCUGUUGCUUUAUUAAUCAAAUCGGCCGAGGUUAUUAAUCUAGUCCCUCUUAAUGAAGAGGCCAUAGAUAGGUAAAUUGCAGCAUUUGUAAUGGUAUUGUGCAGCUGAUGGAUACACAGACCAAUAAAAGCCUUCGGUAAUGGCUUCGCUGUGACUAUGAAUAUGCAUUAGCCCAGCGAACGCUGAACAAUGAGAGUGGGUGUUACCUUCAACUCUCACCGAACGGUGUAGGAUGUUUCCAUGGUGACCACCAUGGCAACGCAGUGCGGAAUUACUAGCCUCGGCCUUGAGAGGGGCUGUUGUCGACAAUACUCGCC